rnacentral:rRNA from 1 species
AUCUUCUUUGAAGGUAUGCUUAAGGAGGGGCUUGCGACACAUUAGUUAGUUGGCAGGGUAAAGGCCUACCAAGACUAUGAUGUGUAGCUGGACUGAGAGGUUGAACAGCCACAUUGGGACUGAGACACGGCCCAAACUCCUACGGGAGGCAGCAGUAGGGAAUUUUCGGCAAUGGAGGAAACUCUGACCGAGCAACGCCGCGUGAACGAUGAAGUACCUCGGUAUGUAAAGUUCUUUUAUUAAGGAAGAAAAAAGAGUGGAAAAACUCCCUUGACGGUACUUAAUGAAUAAGCCCCGGCUAAUUAUGUGCCAGCAGCCGCGGUAAUACAUAAGGGGCGAGCGUUAUCCGGAAUUAUUGGGCGUAAAGGGUGCGUAGGCGGUUUAAUAAGUCUAUAGUUUAAUUUCAGUGCUUAACGCUGUUGUGCUAUAGAAACUGUUUUACUAGAGUGAGAUAGAGGCAAGCGGAAUUCCAUGUGUAGCGGUAAAAUGCGUAAAUAUAUGGAGGAACACCAGAGGCGUAGGCGGCUUGCUGGGUCUUUACUGACGCUGAGGCACGAAAGCGUGGGGAGCAAACAGGAUUAGAUACCCUGGUAGUCCACGCCGUAAACGAUGAGUACUAAGUGUCGGGUAAAACUGGUACUGAAGUUAACACAUUAAGUACUCCGCCUGAGUAGUACGUACGCAAGUAUGAAACUUAAAGGAAUUGACGGGACUCCGCACAAGCGGUGGAUCAUGUUGUUUAAUUCGAAGAUACACGAAAAACCUUACCAGGUCUUGACAUUUUCUUGC